rnacentral:rRNA from 1 species
CCUACGGGAGGCUGCAGUCGAGAAUUUUUCUCAAUGGGGGAAACCCUGAAGGAGCGACGCCGCGUGGAGGAUGAAGGCUUUCGGGUUGUAAACUCCUGUCAUUUGAGAACAAGGGUAGCCAAGUAACUACUGGCUACUUGAUAGUAUCAGAAGAGGAAGAGACGGCUAACUCUGUGCCAGCAGCCGCGGUAAUACAGAGGUCUCAAGCGUUGUUCGGAUUCAUUGGGCGUAAAGGGUGCGUAGGUGGCGCGCUAAGUCAGGUGUGAAAUUUCGGAGCUUAACUCCGAAACUGCAUUUGAUACUGGCGUGCUUGAGGACUGGAGAGGAGACUGGAAUUCACGGUGUAGCAGUGAAAUGCGUAGAUAUCGUGAGGAAGACCAGUGGCGAAGGCGGGUCUCUGGACAGUUCCUGACACUGAGGCACGAAGGCCAGGGGAGCAA